rnacentral:lncRNA from 1 species
CCCAGUCCUUUAAAAAAUUUUUUUGGGGUUCCAGGGCUUGAACUCGGGGUGCUUAACACUGAGCCACAUCCCCAGCCCUUUUUUAAAAAUUUUGAUACAGGGUCUCCCAAAGUUGCUUAAGGUCUUGCUAAAUUGCCAAAGCUGGCCUUAAUCUUGCAAUCCUCCUGCCUCAGCCUCCCAAGUUGCUGGAAUUACAGGUGUGCACCACCAUGCUUAGCUCCCAUAUUAUUUUUUUUUCACCAUGUAACUAAAAGUUUAAUGAGUAGAGAUUUUUACCUUCACCCUCACUUUCAGAUGUGGAAGCCAAAGCUCAGACUGGAAAAAGUGAUUUGUAAAAGUUAUUGACAAGUUGAUAAUAGAAUGGAGACAGGGUGUCUGGGUAUGCUGAAGAAAGACUUGUGAUGCUAUCGGAAGCUGUCUUGGAGCUAUUUGACCCAGGCUCCAGGAGGCCUGUCUGUAUUGCUGGGUCAAAGCCCAGGUACCUAUCCUGUGAAUCAGGUCAAGGGUGGCACACAGAGUCCUAAUAGGCACUGAGAAGGCCCUAAGGCUAAGUGUUCCCUGAGGGCUCUGUUUUCUGCUUUAUCUGUUGUGGUAAGUAUACAGGUAUGAUUCUCUGUCUAGAUUUCCCCUUGCUUUCCAGCUUCUUUCCUUGCCCUGAGGUGUCUCAGAAAAAGACUGCGGUUUUACCAUAGAGACUGACACUUUCAUGGGACACAGUGUCCUGGGGAAGGGGUUGACUCACAGGUACAGAAACAGGUGGCCUGGGAAUUAACUUCUCCCUAUAACAUGGAUGUUUGUUAAAAUAGAUCAGACCAAAGGCAGUGGCCUCAAGGGGGAGGCAUUAUGGAGAGUAAAGGGCAUCUUGAGUGAGGAUAGAAAAAACAGCCC